ACGGAAGGCAGCAGUGAGGAAUAUUGGUCAAUGGACGCGAGUCUGAACCAGCCAAGUAGCGUGAAGGAUGACUGCCCUAUGGGUUGUAAACUUCUUUUAUAUGGGAAUAAAGUGAGCCGCGUGUGGCUUUUUGUAUGUACCAUACGAAUAAGGAUCGGCUAACUCCGUGCCAGCAGCCGCGGUAAUACGGAGGAUCCGAGCGUUAUCCGGAUUUAUUGGGUUUAAAGGGAGCGUAGGCGGACUAUUAAGUCAGCUGUGAAAGUUUGCGGCUCAACCGUAAAAUUGCAGUUGAUACUGGUCGUCUUGAGUGCAGUAGAGGUAGGCGGAAUUCGUGGUGUAGCGGUGAAAUGCUUAGAUAUCACGAAGAACUCCGAUUGCGAAGGCAGCUUACUGGACUGUAACUGACGCUGAUGCUCGAAAGUGUGGGUAUCAAACAGGAUUAGAUACCCUGGUA
rnacentral:rRNA from 1 species